rnacentral:rRNA from 1 species
AAUCAACGUUGGCGGCGCGCUUAACACAUGCAAGUCAAACGAGAAAGUGGAGCAAUCCAUGAGUAAAGUGGCGUACGGGUGAGUAACACGUGGGUAUCCAUUCUUUGGUGGGGAAUAACUCUGGGAAACCGGAGCUAAUACCGCAUAAGUCCGAGAGGAGAAAGGUGAAAAUCGCCGAAGAGGGAGCCCGCGGCUGAUUAGCUAGUUGGUGAGGUAACGGCCCACCAAGGCGAAGANCGGUAGCCGGCCUGAGAGGGCACACGGCCACACUGGCACUGAGACACGGGCCAGACUCCUACGGGAGGCAGCAGUGGGGAAUCUUGCACAAUGGGGGAAACCCUGAUGCAGCGACGCCGCGUGAACGAUGAAGCCCUUCGGGUGUAAG